UUUAGUUAAAUCAGUAUCAUACAACUGAUGACCAAAGUAGAAAGAUGUAGAGAAAUAUUGUUAAAUACUGGUUGGAUUAUCAUUCAUUGUCAAGUAAUAAUGAGUGUCUGUCUUCGUCUGUUCCUGAUUCAGGUCUGUCUUCAGCUGCUGGAGCAGGGAUAUGUGUUGUUGUUGUUCUGCUGAUAGUGACUGCUGCAGCUGCUGCUGUGAUUUACUAUCGCAAGCGUCCUCAAGCAGGGCAAUGAUCAGGAACCAGGACUCAGAGCAGUGAUCAGUUGAAUAGUGUUACAUACACCUCCGUUUAAUCUUGCUGACAAUGGAUUGGAGCCUGCUGCUACUGAGCCGCCCCGUGAUGGAAAAGUGAAUACCAGUGAGACAUCAGGUUGAUGUUGAGCUAUGAUGGCAAGUUCAGUUUGUAGAAGAUUAUUAAAGUUUGUGACACUGUCACACAGGACACUUGUCACUGCUCAAUAUAUUAUAAUGAUUUUAUGUAUAUUUGAAUGUAUAUUCCAAAUGGAAGUGAUCAUCCCUAACCCCUUGGAGAGUGGACUUUGGAGUGAGCAGAGCAUGUGUGUGCCAUUAUGUAGUCGUUUGGAAUGCACUUGACAGGGAGUGAUGUAAUUUCCUCAUUAUCUUCAGCUGGGAUGUUUCCAUGACAAAACAGCACAGUGUCGUCAGCAGAUUCGCUGAUGGUCACCAGCAUAAAAAAAAAGAUAAAUGUAAUUUUUUUUUAAGUUUUAUAUAUAUAUUAUUUUUAUAUAUUAUAUAGCAUAUUUUAAAAACUUUGUAAAAUAAAAAUUGCAUGUUUUUUUGCAACAGUUAUUCUAACAACAAUAAAAAGACAUUUCUGACAUUGAAACAGCGACACCGUGCUGCGCUGUUACGGGUGUUAAUCAUGCAGACAGUGGAUUUGCAAGUGAAGUUUGCACUGUGUGACCGAGCGGCAACCUCGCGCUCUCUCUUGUGAAGCCAAUAAGGAAGUGACUAAAACUGCAAUUCAUCGACUGGCCACUUGAGGCUGGCUGCAAAAGGGAGUCAGUCCCAUAGACUCCCCAUGUUAAAAUGCCCAACUUCACAGCAGAAAAAAACAUGUUUACAGCCUGGUUCAAAAAAUGAUUUUGGUCUAUAUAGCUAAAUUUGCCCUUCAUGACAACUGUGAGGGGGGUGAAUUUUUUUAUAACUCAUCCGUUUAAAUUAUAUUAAGCCUUAAAGUUCUGCAUAAUUAAGGGCGUGGCCACUUGAGUGACAGGUGGAUUGCCGCUGCUGACAAUGCCGUCGCGCUAGGUGGGCGUGGCUUCAGCAACCAGCUCCCGCCUUUUUGCCCAUUUUCGAUUUUCCGGGAGAGUCGCGCGGUGACGCGCUGCCAAGAUGGCGACGGCCCGCUCUGAAGACUUUGAGCUUCAAAACCGCUAUUGAGGAGUCUAUGGGUGACGUCACGGACACUACGUCCAUAUUUUUUUACAGUCUAUGUGUGUGACGAACCAUAAAUAUUCCACCCCUUCCAUGCCCAUAUCUGGAUAGGAAACAAAUUGGUGAAAAUUAUAAAAGAGAGAUAAAAGAUGGAAAGAGGAGUGUGAAUUACCUGAAUACGGGACUGGGUUCUGUGACGAGCUGCAGAUCAGUGGUGUUUUCUCUGCUGAAGAGUCUUGUCAAGUUCAGUAGUUCUUCUCGAUGCUGCAUUUUAAAAAAUAUGUUCCCCUGAACUUCAUCCAGUCUUGUUAUUGGUUGUGAUUUAAAGGGUUCUAAUUUUCUUUUAAUCUUAUGUAACUGGUGGAAUCAUUUAUCUGUUGAUAUGUGUAAACCUGCCUAGCAUCCGAAUUUAUUGUAAUUAGCUAAAAAUGUGAAAAAUAUUUUGGGUUGGGCCACCACUUUUAAAACGGCUUAUAAUGUAGGUGUUGUUACUGGUAUCAUUGCAGUUACUUUAUAAGACUGUUACACAUAUGUUUCCAGUGUCUAUAGCUUUCCAAACUAUUUUUUUUGUAUGACUUUUCAUCAAGAAAGACUGUUAGGUUAAAUAUGAACAGCAUAGGUUUUUAUAUUUACAAUAGCAUCAAACUAGAAUUAACCAUCCAUUGAUUUAUUUAAUAUUAGUUAACGGAAUACUUUCCUGAGAGAACAGUUAUGUUUCACACAUGUAACUGUACACAUAAAUUAAACAGACUGUGUUGAAUGUUGGAAUCCGCCUUGGAAAGAAGAGCCACAAAAUCCCUUAGGACUCCACACACAGUCCGCUCUCUCUUCAAACUGUUGACUCCUGGUCGGUAUUACAGAGCACCGAACAGUUUUUUUUCUUCCCUCACAGGCUAUAUAAAUAAUAAUAAAACAAGAAAACGUUCAUAACUAGCAUUUAUACAUAGCAUCUGAACAUUGUACAUUGUAAACUGAACACUUGUAAAUACUUGUAAAUAACAUAUCUGUACAUUAUCAACUGUACGUUGUUUUUUUUCCCUCUAUAUCUCUGCUUAUGUAUAUAGUGCAUUAUUUAAUUUUAUGUUUUCUUAUAUUAGUGUUAUAUACCAUCUCUACUGUGUAAUUCCUAUGUAUGUCUGCACUAUCAUUUAUGUUUGCACUAUGUUCGUACUUUCUUCUGCACUGGAAAUCAAAUUCCAAGUACACAACUAGUUUACAUCAAUGUUUUUAGUUUGU
ensembl:lncRNA